rnacentral:rRNA from 1 species
AGAUAAUAGAUACCCUGGUAGUCCAUGCCGUAAACGAUGGAUGCUAGCUGUAUUCGGUAUCGACCCCGGAUGUAGCGAAGCUAACGCGUUAAGCAUCCCGCCUGUGGAGUACGGUCGCAAGACUAAAACAUAAAGGAAUUGACGGGGACCCGCACAAGCGGUGGAGCGUGUUGUUUAAUUCGAUGAUAAGCGAAGAACCUUACCCAGGCUUGACAUCCUUGGAAUUUCUCCGAAAGGAGAGAGUGCAUUUAGAACCAAGUGACAGGUGUUGCAUGGCCGUCGUCAGCUCGUGUCGUGAGAUGUUUGGUUAAGUCCAUCAACGAGCGCAACCCUUAUGAUUAGUUGGAUUUUUCUAGUCAGACUGCCCUGGCAACAGGGAGGAAGGAGGGGAUGAUGUCAGGUCAGUAUUACCCUUACGCCUGGGGCUACAAACACGCUACAAUGGCCGGUACAAAGGGCAGCCAAGUCGCAAGACGGAGCAAAUCCCAUCAAAGCCGGUCCCAGUUCGGAUAGCAGGCUGAAACUCGCCUG